UACGUAGGGGGCAAGCGUUGUCCGGAUUUAUUGGGCGUAAAGAGCGUGUAGGCGGCCAGGUAGGUCAGCUGUGAAAACUCGAGGCUCAACCUCGAGAUGUCGGCUGAAACCAUCUGGCUAGAGUCCGGAAGAGGAGAAUGGAAUUCCCGGUGUAGCGGUGAAAUGCGCAGAUAUCGGGAGGAACACCAAUGGCGAAGGCAGCUCGCUGGGGCGUUACUGACGCUGAGACGCGAAAGCGUGGGGAGCAAACAGG
rnacentral:rRNA from 1 species